UCCCUGGUGAUCCAGUGGUUAAGAUACUAAGCUUCCAAUUCAGGAGACACGGGUUCAAUCCUCGGUCAGAGAA
rnacentral:tRNA from 1 species